rnacentral:lncRNA from 1 species
GCUCAGGGCCCUCCGAACAAAGCAGCGCUCGGUGCCGGACCUGCAGCUCUCCCCACCCGGCAGCAGCGCCCUCAGCACGCCCGGGAACCCCCGACCCCUCUGAGCCCGGGGUACUGCGCCCGGGUCUCCACGCCCAGAGAUGCUCCCCGGUCUCCACCGUCGGGCAAGCCCCAAGCGCAGCAGCGCAGAGUCCUGGGGUCACCAGAGCUCGUACUAGGACAUCGUCUCCCCAUUUAACACCGCCUCCGGUCCCAUCUGAGUUGCAAGUGGUGGGGAUGUGGGGCUCCGGAUCAAAGUCCCCGAAACCGAGCACUUCCCGAAGCCUCCUUGGCCUCGAAACAAAACAAUAACGCCCAAGCGACCUACUGCCUUGGAGAUUCCCAGCCUGAGCUCCCCAGGUCCCUCAGAGGACCCGAGAGGAACAUCUUACUGCUUCUCUUCAUAAAUUGAGAGGAAGGAGGCCACAAAAUCCAUCAUAUUCCAGAACUCCCACCACCUGCAUACAGACAUUCAGCUGCACAAGCCCCCUCCAUGCUACAGUCAACAGGAUCUCCAGGC